rnacentral:misc_RNA from 1 species
AAAUGCGAUAAGUAGUGUGAAUUGCAGAAUUCAGUGAAUCAUCGAAUCUUUGAACGCACAUUGCGCCCCUUGGUAUUCCAUGGGGCAUGCCUGUUCGAGCGUCAUUUGUACCCUCAAGCUCUGCUUGGUGUUGGGUGUUUGUCCCCGUCUCCGCGCGUGGACUCGCCCCAAAGUGAUUGGCAGCCGGCGUACUGGUCCCGGAGCACAGCACAUGUCGCGCAAACGAGUGCCUUGGUACGGCGGCGUCCAUAAGCCCCUCUCUCACGCUCUUGACCUCGGAUCAGGUAGGGAUACCCGCUGAACUUAAGC